rnacentral:rRNA from 1 species
UACGAGAGGCCCAAACGUUAUUCGGAUUUACUGGGCUUAAAGGGUGCGUAGGCGGUCGUGCAAGUCGGAUGUGAAAUCUCAGGGCUCAACCCUGAAACUGCAUUCGAUACUGCGCGGCUAGAGUGCUGGAGGGGAGACUGGAAUUUACGGUGUAGCAGUGAAAUGCGUAGAUAUCGUAAGGAAGACCAGUGGCGAAGGCGAGUCUCUGGACAGCAACUGACGCUGAGGCACGAAGGCCAGGGGAGCAAACGGG